UAGGUAAUCUUCCGCAAUGGACGAAAGUCUGACGGAGCAACGCCGCGUGAGUGAAGAAGGAUUUCGGUUCGUAAAACUCUGUUGUUAGGGAAGAAAAAAUGUAUAGUAACUAUAUACAAAAGAGACGGUACCUAACCAGAAAGCCACGGCUAACUACGUGCCAGCAGCCGCGGUAAUACGUAGGUGGCAAGCGUUGUCCGGAAUUAUUGGGCGUAAAGCGCGCGCAGGUGGUUUAGAAAGUCUGAUGUGAAAGCCCACGGCUCAACCGUGGAGGGUCAUUGGAAAAUAAUAAACUUGAGUGCAGGAGAGAAAAGUGGAAUUCCUAGUGUAGCGGUGAAAUGCGUAGAGAUUAGGAGGAACACCGGUGGCGAAAGCGGCUUUUUGGCCUGCAACUGACACUGAGGCGCGAAAGCGUGGGGAGCAAACAGG
rnacentral:rRNA from 1 species